rnacentral:rRNA from 1 species
UACGGAAGGCAGCAGUGGGGAAUAUUGCACAAUGGGCGAAAGCCUGAUGCAGCUAUGCCGCGUGUAUGAAGAAGGCCUUAGGGUUGUAAAGUACUUUCAUCGGGGAGGAAAAACAAAACUAAUAAUUUUAUUUCUUGACGUUACCCGAAAAAGAAGCACCGGCUAACUCCGUGCCAGCAGCCGCGGUAAUACGGAGGGUGCUAGCGUUAAUCAGAAUUACUGGGCGUAAAGAGCACGUAGGUGGUUUUUUUAAAGUCAGAUGUGAAAUCCCUGGGCUUAACCUGGAACUGCAUUUUGAAACUGAAAUACUAGAGUAUCGUAGAGGGAGGUAGAAUUCUAGGUGUAGCGGUGAAAUGCGUAGAUAUCUGGAGGAAUACCUGUGGCGAAAGUGGCCUCCUAAACGAAUACUGACACUGAGGUGCGAAAGCGUGGGGAGCAAACAGGGAUUAGAUACC